rnacentral:rRNA from 1 species
AAUCAACGCUGGCGGCGUGCCUCAGACAUGCAAGUCGAACGAUUAAAGCUCUCUUCGGAGAGUGUAUAGAGUGGCGCACGGGUGAGUAACACGUAAGUAAUCUACCUCUGAGUGGGGAAUAACGUCCGGAAACGGACGCUAAUACCGCAUAAUGCAGCGGCACCGCAAGGUGACAGUUGUUAAAGAUUUAUCGCUUAGAGAGGAGCUUGCGGCAGAUUAGCUAGUUGGUAAGGUAAUGGCUUACCAAGGCUACGAUCUGUAACCGGUCUUAGAGGACGGUCGGUCACACUGACACUGAAUAGCGGGUCAGACUCCUACGGGAGGCAGCAGUCGGGAAUUUUGGGCAAUGGGCGAAAGCCUGACCCAGCAACGCCGCGUGAGGGAUGAAGUAUUUCGGUAUGUAAACUUCGAAAGAAUGGGAAGAAUCAAUGACGGUACCAUUUAUAAGGUCCGGCUAACUACGUGCCAGCCGCCGCGGUAAGAC